rnacentral:other from 1 species
AGUAGCCUGAGAUGUGCGUUGCUCUAUAUAAUUCAACCACCAGAUAGAUUGAGGGAGUUCGUGUCCUACUGUGGAUGGCAGGCCUUUUACAAAGAGGAAGUCAGAAGCUCUAGGUAGUACACCCACGUUGUGAGACGUGGUCCAGAAUUGUAUGGGUGACGGCAUCUUGGACCUUCA